GCAAGUUUCCUAAGAGAUUCUAAAGUGGAGUGCAGGUGUGACACCCUUAAUAAAAAUUUCAUGCUACUACAUCUGUCUUAGAUUAAUAAUCAUAAUAUGCAAAUCUCAGAACAAACAAAGAUCAAAUGUUCAUGAAGUUUCUUUAAUAUAAAUACCAUGGUCACCAAAAGAAUAAUUUUAAAUAGUAAAAAAUAAUACUUUGACUUGAGAUACAGAUCUAAACUAUCCAGACCGACUAAAUUUGGUUCAUAUAUGCUUUAUGUUAUCUAGCUCAUGAUCAACAUAAUUGUCUUUCAAUUUAUAUGUCCAGCCAUGCAUAAAUCUUCUUAUCAGAAAACAUAUGUUUUAUGACUAAAUGAUGAAUAAGUAAGAAAUAAUAUAUCAUUUUUUUUGUUUUAAGCAAUUUAGAUGUUUUUAGAUCAUGAUCCAUUGUGCAGAGUAUGUUUAGAUUGCUUUCUAAGCAUUUCUAAUUGGAAGGAUAUGACUAAAUAAUUAUCUAUGUACUUUAACACUCAAAAGUUUAUGCCUAUAGGUGGGUUCAUAUCUCUUAUCUCUCAACCACUAAAAGAUCUUGUAAUCUCUCAUGUUUAAGCAAUUUAGAUGUAUCCAUAAUGUACAGUCAUACCAGCCGAUAUAAGGCAUACCGUACCGUACCAAGUGAAAACUGGUACGAGACUCGUGUUUGGAUCGUUACAAAGCCCGUACCACCCUAUAUUGCCUAGUAUUGAGGCCGAGAUGUACUCAUAUUGCUUAGCGGCCAACUAUACAUGCUGAAUCCUGCACAGGAUUUUACAGGGUAAACCAUGAUGGAUUUCAGUUGGACAUUCCCUGCCAACUGCUGCCAACCAAUGCCUGAUAAAGGAACUGCCUAACAUAUAGUGCGGUGUACUGCGGUGUAUUGAGUUAAAAAGUGAGAAAAAUGAUUCAAUGGUUGUUUUGAUACAAGGUGCAUAGUCAAAGUUUGCUGUGCCGAUUGAUAUCAUACCGUAUCGGACGUACUGUACAGUACCAGUAUUGAAUCGGUAUACUAUACUAUACAUACCGACACUUGGUAUGCCAAACCUUAAUGUACCGUACCAUAUAUUGACACUAUAAUAGGAUGAUACUAGUACAGGGUCCGGUACUAAAACAGUGAACCUUGGUGCAUAUUCAUACCAUAUUGACCGGUAUUGUACUGAAUCAGUUAUGCACCGGUAUGGUACUAGUAUCGAGAUUGAAGACCUUGGUAUAUACUAAAUUUAGAUGGCUUUCUAAGCAUUUUUCAUUAGAAGGAUACAACUAUUAUCUACGGACUUUACCACUCAAAAGUUUUUGCCUAUAGUGGGUUAUCUCCCUUAUCCCUCAACCACAACAAAGAUCUUGCAAUCUUCUCAUAUCAAACACCGACGAAUCAAUUCCCCAUGCACCUCUAAACAUCUUUCAUCAUCCUCUCUCAAGUCUUAAAUCUCCUCAUUCUUGCGAAAUCCCGCACACCACACAUCUAUUCCUCCUCUCUCUCCCCCGCAGCCCCACAUAGGUUCCAGUAUCUUGA
rnacentral:lncRNA from 1 species